CCUACGGGAGGCAGCAGUGGGGAAUAUUGGACAAUGGGCGAAAGCCUGAUCCAGCCAUGCCGCGUGUGUGAAGAAGGCCUUCGGGUUGUAAAGCACUUUCAGUGGGGAAGAAAGCCUUGGGGCUAAUACCCUCGAGGAAGGACAUCACCCACAGAAGAAGCACCGGCUAACUCCGUGCCAGCAGCCGCGGUAAUACGGAGGGUGCGAGCGUUAAUCGGAAUUACUGGGCGUAAAGCGCGCGUAGGCGGUCUGAUAAGCCGGUUGUGAAAGCCCCCGGGCUCAACCUGGGAACGGCAUCCGGACCUGUCGGGCUAGAGUGCAGGAGAGGAAGGUAGAAUUCCCGGGGUAGCGGUGAAAGGGGUAGGGAUCGGGAGGAAUACCAGUGGCAAGGGCGGCCUUCUGGACUGACACUAACGCUGAGGUGCAAAAGCGUGGGUAGCAAACGGGAUUAGAUACCGAGUAGUC
rnacentral:rRNA from 1 species